rnacentral:ncRNA from 1 species
UGUCGACCGCACGGCACCGGUGAAAAGGGAAUCAGGUGAGAGGCCUGAGCGAGCCGGUCACUGUAUAUGAGGAGCGAUGCCGAAGAUACCCAUUGUACAUGCCUGUAUGAGAAGGGCGGCAAAGCGUGGAUCCAUGAGCCAGGAAACCUGCUUAA